UACGUAGGGGGGCAAGCGUUGUCCGGAUUUAUUGGGCGUAAAGAGCGUGUAGGCGGCCAGGUAGGUCAGCUGUGAAAACUCGAGGCUCAACCUCGAGACGCCGGUUGAAACCAUCUGGCUAGAGUCCGGAAGAGGAGAGUGGAAUUCCUGGUGUAGCGGUGAAAUGCGCAGAUAUCAGGAAGAACACCCGUGGCUAAGGCGGCUCUCUAGUACGGUACUGACGCUGAGACGCGAAAGCGUGGGGAGCAAACAGG
rnacentral:rRNA from 1 species